UGUCUCCUUUUUUCCAGCCAAAAUAACAGGCCUCACGGUGUCUCUUAGCUGGACGAGUUCAACAAUCCUAUCAGUUGAAAGGCGCAAAGGCAGCCUUGAUAGUGUUUCAUCACGCAAUAUUUGUGCAAGCUGUUCCUCCUCUUUUUUGUUGUCCCAAAACAACAAAGCCACAAAAACAGCAAUACCAGCGACAUUUAUAGCAGCAUUUCCUGCAGUCGCCCCUAAAUCAGGAGCACCAUCUCCACCUUGAAUUGCACGGAUUAACCUGGGUAUAGUGAAAAAUGUAGAAAUUCCAGCAGCAGCAAUGAAUGCCACAUAAAAGAAUCUUCUGACCCCCCUAAACGGUGCUUGUACCUCACUGAUGAGCUUAAGGUCUCUACGGAAACUGUAACCUAUGUCUUCCCCUCCUAACCUAGCCUCUUCCUGUAGUUCCUUAAAUUCAGGCAAUGCUCUGAAGGAAGCCAAAUCUGGAUCAUUUAAGAUUGUGCCAAACUUAAGGUUAUACUCUUUCAAAGCAGUGCGUAA
rnacentral:misc_RNA from 1 species